GAGUGUGUCAACCGUGCAUGCUCCACAAUGUGCCUGGAGAGAUUGAUGUUUUGUCAUCCACCUGCUUCAAAGCUGUAAAACCCGGCAGGCAGCAGCAAACGGAGAGACCUACCCAGCCCGGAAAAAAACAAACAAAGAGAGACCUUACUGGUGCUGUUUACACAUCUGUGUGGAGGACUAUCUGGGCUUGUGUGUUUUGACAUCGCGCUCAAAUGGCUGCACGGCUCCUGUCUCAGUGAAACGGAAGAUGUAGAGGAGCUGGAUGCUGGAGAGUGAGUGAAGGAGUGAAGCUGAGCCCUGGACGGAGGGAUCUGCUGGAGGAAAGGAGAGAGAGUGUAGGCUGAACUGGGCCACAGGAUCCGAGCUGGGAGGACUGGGAGAAGAGACGAGAGAGGGCGGCUCCGCUGACUGGAGGAGUACCAGCUGGUCUCAAACAGGUAGGGAGCCGUGCCAAGUCCCUGUGCCAGCGUCCGUCGUGCCCGCUGACGUUCGUCGUCUGUUGGCUUCCAUCAGGGCCUCUCUCUCUCUCUGAUCUGAAAUGAAGAUGAUUUGAUUAGACCUCUGGUAAAGGCUGGGCAGGCCCUAUACAAAGUCAUUACCUUGAUGAAAAAUGCCCAUCAGAGCUUGAAUUAGGAUGGCCAGGAGUGGACUGGGGUGUUACGGGUGAGUAGUGGGUGGCCGCAGUGGACUCACAUUUGCACUGGACUGUUAGUUGUAAUUCUGUUAAAAUGUUGUGUGUGUCUGUGUAUGCACUUUUUCAACUUCCCUACUCUCACCCCUCUGGUAAUUGAAUUGUGGUACAAUAAUGGAUCUAUGAUUUUAUUUUGUCUUAGGUCCAAAUUAGUUUUGGUGUGAACGUACAUACACUGGCAGGUGUUUACACAUUACAGGGGCUCAAAGAAAAUCUCCCAAACUCUGGAGGUUAAACUCUGUAUAUCACACCUGGCCUAUACACUGUAUGUAGUCUAUAUGCUUUGCAAGAGGUAUGGAUACAAGUAUAGAAGGACCAAGUCUUUGUAUAGAAGACAAGGAUAUGCUAGUUGGGAAAGUGAGAGGGACAGGUAGUAGCAGACCUAAGGGACUGACUGGAAGGAGUAUGUCUCAGUUGGUAGAACAUGAUGCUUGCAACGCCAGGGUUGUGGGAACAGUACGAAAAUGUAUGCAAUCACUACUGUAAGUCGCUCUGGAUAAUAGCAUCUGCUAAAUGACUCAUUUGUUAUUUAUUUUUUCUGUAAUAAUAAAUGAAAGGAACGGGUAGGCCUUCUUUCUGGCUAGGAGACAAACCGAGAAAGACCGGUACGCCUACUUGGAGACAAUGCAAGAAGGACAGCUACUGUAGCUGGCUAGGGACUGCCUGAAAGAGACAGGUAGCUACUGUAGCUGGCUAGGGACUGCCUGAAAGAGACAGGUAGCUACUGUAGCUGGCUAGGGACUGCCUGAAAGAGACAGGUAGCUACUGUAGCUGGCUAGGGACCGCCUGAAAGAGACAGGUAGUUACUGUAGCUGGCUAGGGACUGCCUGAAAGAGACAGGUAGCUACUGUAGCUGGCUAGGGACCGCCUGAAAGAGACAGGUAGCUACUGUAGCUGGCUAGGGACCGCCUGAAAGAGACAGGUAGCUACUGUAGCUGGCUAGGGACUGCCUGAAAGAGACAGGUAGCUACUGUAGCUGGCUAGGGACCGCCUGAAAAAGACAGGUAGCUACUGUAGCUGGCUAGGGGACUGAGAGGAUGAGUUACAGUAAUGUAACUGAUGUCAUCCUGUUAAUCACGUCUGCCUGGCCAAACAGCCCUGCGGGUACAGACUGUAGUGUGUGUACGGCCCAGCAAUUUUGCCAAGCUGUUCCCAUGACCCAGAGGUCAAAGGACAUGCUCAGAGUCGGCGCCAGGCAGAGACCAGCCAGAUAGACGACCUUGCCGCGCACACACACACACACACACACACACACACACACACACACACACACACACACACACACACACACACACACACACACACACACACACACACACACACACACACACACACACACACACCCACACACACAACACACACACACAC